UACGAAGGUGGCAAGCGUUGUUCGGAUUUACUGGGCGUAAAGGGAGCGUAGGUGGUGGGGUAAGCCCCGCGGGAAAGCUCCAGGCUUAACCUGGAAAGGUCGCGGGGGACUGCUCCGCUGGAGGACGGGAGAGGAGCGCGGAAUUCCCGGUGUAGCGGUGAAAUGCGCAGAUAUCAGGAGGAACACCGAUGGCGAAGGCAGGUCUCUGGGCAUUAACUGACGCUGAGGAGCGAAAGCAUGGGGAGCGAACAGG
rnacentral:rRNA from 1 species